rnacentral:rRNA from 1 species
GACGAACGCUGGCGGCGUGCUUAACACAUGCAAGUCGAACGGUGAAGCGCCUUCCUUUUAGGUGGGUGUGGAUGAGUGGCGAACGGGUGAGUAACACGUGAGUAACCUGCCCCAUUCUUCUGGAUAACCGCAUGAAAGUGUGGCUAAUACGGGAUAUUCUGGGUCUGUCGCAUGAUGGGUCUGGGACAGAUAUUGUUUCGGUGGGGGAUGGUCUCGCGGCCUAUCAGCUUGUUGGUGGGGUGAGGGACUACCAAGGCGGUGACGGGUAGCCGGCCUGUGAGGACGGAGCGUCUCACUGUGCCCCAGCCUCCGCCCAGACGUGUACAGGCGGCAUCCGUGGCGAUGAUCGCUCGAUCUGCGUGAGCCCGUGGCAGUGCCGCCGCGUGAGCGAUGGAGUCGGUCGGGGUGUGAACCUCUGUCGCCAGUGAGGUAGGCCUGCCUCGUGUGUGGAGGGGUUCACGGUACCUGGAUAAGAAGCCCCCUCUAACUACGUG